UACGUAGGGUGCAAGCGUUGUCCGGAAUUAUUGGGCGUAAAGAGCUCGUAGGCGGUCUGUCGCGUCGGCUGUGAAAACUCGGGGCUCAACUCCGAGCUUGCAGUCGAUACGGGGCAGGCUAGAGUUCGGCAGGGGAGACUGGAAUUCCUGGUGUAGGCGGUGAAAUGCGCAGAUAUCAGGAGGAACACCGGUGGCGAAGGCGGGUCUCUGGGCCGAUACUGACGCUGAGGAGCGAAAGCGUGGGGAGCGAACAGG
rnacentral:rRNA from 1 species